CUCUAUAUAUUUUGGAAAUGAGGCCUUUAUCAGAACCUUUGACUGUAAAAAUAUUUUCCCAGUUUAUUGCUUCCCUUCUAAUCUUGUCUGCAUUAGUUUUGUUUGUACAAAAACUUUUCAGUUUGGUAUAAUCGAAAUUUUCUAUUUUGUGAUCAGUAAUGAUCUCUAGUUCUGCUUUUGUCAUAAAAACCUUCCCCUUCCACAGGUCUGAGAGGUAAACUAUCCUAUGUUCCUCUAAUUUAUUAAUCAUUUCAUUCUUUAUGCCUAGGUCAUGAACCCAUUUUGACCUUUAUCUUUGUGUCAGCGUUAAGUAUGGAUCAAUGCCUAGUUUUUCCAUAUUAGUUUCCAAUUUUCCCAGCAAUUUUUAUCAAACAGUAAGUUCUUAUCCCAAAAGCUGGGAUCUUUGGGUUUGUCAAAGACUAGGUUGCUAUAUUUGUUGACUGUUUUAUCCCUUGAACCUAAUCUAUUCCACUGAUCAACUAAUCUAUUCCUUAGCCAAUACCAAAUAGUUUUGGUAACUGCUGCUCUAUAGUAUAGUUUUAGAUCUGGUACAGCUAAGCCACCAUCAUUUGAUUUUUUUUUUAUUAAUUCCCUUGAAAUUCUUGACCUUUUGUUUUUCCAUAUGAACUUUGUUGUUAUUUUUUUAGGUCAUUAAAAUAGUUUUUGGGAGUCUGAUUGGUAUAGGCUAAAUAAAUAGAUUAGUUUAGGUAAUAUUGUCAUCUUUAUUAUAUUUGCUCGCCCUAUCCAAGAGCAUUUAAUAUUUUUCCAAUUGGUUAGAUCAGACUUAAUUUGUGUGAAAAGUGGUCUGUAAUUUUGCUCAUAAAGUUUCUGAUUUUCCCUUGGCAGAUAGAUUCCUAAAUAUUUUAUAUUAUCAGUAGUUACUUUAAAUGGAAUUUCUCUUUGUAACUAUGACUGUUGGAUUUUGUUAGUGAUAUAUAAGAAUGCUGAUGACUUAUGUGGGUUUUUUUAUAACCAACAACUUAGCUAAAGUUGUGGAUUAUUUCUAAUAACUUUUAGCAGAAUCUCUGGGGUUCUCUAAGUAUACCAUCAUGUCAUCGGCAAAGAGUGAUAAUUUGGCUUCCUCAUUGCCUAUUCUUAUUCCUUUAAUCUCUUUCUCAGCUCUUAUUGCUAAAGCUAGCGUUUCUAAUACAAUAUUAAAUAGUAACGGUGAUAGUGGGCAACCUUGUUUCACUCCAGAUCUUAUUGGGAAUGGUUGCAGUUUGUCUCCAUUACAUAUGAUGCUUACUGAUGGUUUUAAAUAGAUGCUGCUGAUUAUUUUAAGGAAAAGUCCAUUUAUUCCUAUACUCUCAAGUGUUUUAAUAGGAAUGGAUGUUGGAUUUUAUCAAAUGCUUUUUCUGCAUCUAUUGAGAUGAUCAUAUGGUUUUUGUUAAUUUGGUUAUUGACAUGGCCAAUUAUAUUGAUAGUUUUCCUAAUAUUGAACCAGCCCUGCAUUCCUGGUAUAAAUCCUACUUGAUCAUAGUGUAUUAUCUUGGAGAUGAUUUUCUGUAGUCUUUUUGCUAAUAUCUUAUUUAAGAUUUUAGCAUCAAUAUUCAUUAGGGAGAUUGGUCUAUAAUUUUCUUUCUCUGUUUUCAGCCUACCUGGUUUAGGUAUCAGUACCAUGUCUGUGUCAUAGAAGGAAUUUGGUAGGACCCCUUCAUUCCCUAUUUUAUCAAAUAAUUUAUAUAGCAUUGGGGCCAAUUGUUCUUUAAAUGUUUGGUAGAAUUCACAUGUAAAUCCAUCUGGUCCUGGGGAUUUUUUCUUAGGGAGUUGUUUAAUUGCCUGUUCUAUUUCUUUUCUGAAAUGGGACUAUUCAAGCAAUUUACUUCUUCCUCUGUUAGUCUGGGAAGUCUGUAUUUUUGGAGGUAGUCAUCCAUUUCACUUAGGUUAUCAAAUUUAUUGGCAUAAAGUUGAGCAAAAUAACUCCUUAUUUCUCUAAUUUCCUCUUCAUUGGUGGAAAGUUCUCCUUUUCAUUUUAAGACUACUAAUUUCAUUUUCCUCCCUCCUUUUUCUAAUCAGAUUUACCAAAGGCUUAUCUAUUUUAUUGGCUUUU
ensembl:lncRNA